rnacentral:pre_miRNA from 1 species
CUUGUACUCCCUCCAUCUGGAAAUACUUGUCAUUGAAAUGGAUGUAUCUAGAUGUAUUUUAGUUCUAGACACAUCCAUUUUGAUGACAAGUAAUUCCGGACGGAGGGAGUACUUG